CUGCCUUGCAUGCACAAAGAUGAUUUCUGUUAGCUGUCCAUGUGCUAAACAUCUAAUACAACUUCCAUCUUCACCCAAAAGACUGAGAGUGGAAGCGGGACCCCAGUUCAGUGCUGCUGCAUCAAAUUCCACUAAGAAACUCAUCAUUUUCUUUCAUGUGACUGAUAACUCUCAGUCAGAUAAAACCACGUACACUAAGCAGCUGAACGUACAGGGCUCAUCUCCACUUGUGUACAACAAUGUGUGUGCGUAUAGCGUGUUUUCUGGAGUGAAGAACAGGGGAUUCAUGAGAUGGCUGGCAGUAAUUAUUCACAGUGUUGCUUUACUCUGUGUUACACUUUUCUAUUUAAUUCUCUACUAUCACAACUUCAUAUCCUAAAAAUGGAAUAACGGAACUAAUCCGGUAACCCUGACACGAGGCUCAAUGCAGGACGCAGUCAAACCACGAGGAAAAACAUACCCGGGUUUGGAUGAACCUCACGUGGAGGAGUGUUCAGUGAUGUCCCGCAGCACUGCAGGUGUUAAAUUAACCUUGCAAAUGUUCGUUCAUCACCACGUGGCUGACACUGUGCCAAACCUCUAGUGGAUGGGCGUGUACUCGCAGAGAGACAUGCAGCAGGAGAUAUGAGACAUACAGCAGAACACAUGAGACAUACAGCAGGACACGACACAUGCAGCAGGA
ensembl:lncRNA